AUGAACACGCUUCUUGACAUCUGCUCAGUUCUGCUGCUCCUCUUAAUGCUCAAGAGGAGCAACGGAGACUCAGUGACCCAGACAGAAGGUCUUGUUACUUCUACAGAAGGGUUGCCUGUGAAACUGAGCUGCACCUAUGAGACUAAUGGAAGUCCUUACCUUUUCUGGUAUGUGCAAUACCCGAAGAAAGGCCCUCAGCUCCUCCUGUGGACUGCCACAGACAACAAGAGGACAGAGCACCAAGGGUUCCACGCCACUCUCCAUAAGAGCAACAGCUCCUUCCACCUGCAGAAGCCCUCAGUGCAGCUGUGGGACUCUGCCCUGUACUACUGUGCUCUGAGUGACACAGUGAGGGAGACUGCAGGGGAAGCUGCACACAAACCAAGGGUGUAG